rnacentral:lncRNA from 1 species
CCCUCUCCCAGCACCCGGUGGUCUUUGCUCCUCCGUCCCCCCCGCCAACUCGCCAGAGAGCCAGAGCUGAGCGUCCUUCACAUCCAGACAUCUGAUGCUCCCCUCAGCCCUGCAGAGAGCCAGCAUGCUGGCUGCUUUUCAGAUGGGGAAACUGAUGGCCAAGAGGUGAGGACUUGCUCAAGGUCACGCAAGAGCCAAGUGUGCCCACAGCGGAGGUGGUGUGAAAGGAGACUGCGGCCACACGGACCUGGCUGGGAUCCUGGUCCCCUCACCUCCAGCUGUGUGUCAUCGGGCAGGUCACCCACCCUCUCUGAGCCUCAAUUGAUAUAAGUGCUGAACACAUGAAGUCACCGCUUUGUUUCCAAUAGAGUUUAUGCCCCAAGAGUGCAAAGACAUGUCUAUCACUCACCUCAGCGCCCCCAGAGCCUGGCGCAGGGUGGGAUUCGAAGAAUAGCGCCUGCCUCCCAGGGCCUGCCUGGCACUCAACAGACACUGUGUCUCUUCAAACUGCAACCCCCCCAACCUGGCCCCAGCCCUGGAUCAGCCUCACCUCGCCUCAUUCCCCUCCCAUCAGUCCUUCCUGCAGGACACCCACCCACCUGGCCUUGAGGGGGGGCUCCUGCUUACCUCCCCACCCCAUCCCUCUCGGCCCCCUUUCUCUGUCCCAGCCUCUCCCUCAUGUCGCUCUCUCCUGCCGAGCCCCUACUUGGCUCUACGCUGUUUACAAGACAAUGAUGACAGUUUUUAUUUCUCUGUUUUAUCUCCCUUCCUCCCCUGAAGGGAAACGUGCUUCCAAUCUUCCAGGAAAAAAUGAAGGCUCAGGAUGAGAAAAAGCAAACAAAGGACAGUGGGACCAUGGGCGUCCCCACCCCCACCACCCGCAGGCCCCACACUCAAACCAGCGCCUGUGCCCACGCCCAUGCAGCCGUCCUCCGCCAGGCCCCAAGAACGGCUGUUACUUUGGGGGCAGGGCCCGUCUUCUGCUCCUGGCCCAGGGCCACCAUCCCCCCAGGUCCUGGGAACCCGAGUGGUGAUUGGCCUUGGGGAUCCCUCCAGCAACAGUGGAACAACAGAGACCAGCCCCCACCCCAGCCAGUGUCCAGGAGGCUCGUGGGACUGUGAUGUCACCACCAAGCCCUGGCUGAGGCCGAGGCACAAGGGAGGCCCCAUUCAUCUUCCCUGGAGUCGGCAUCCCUUUGAUCGCGGGGCCAUCUCAUCUGAACAUCUUCACCCGCCCCACCGCCAAUAUUCCUUCUGAACCCUCCAUCCUCCUUCUCCCCUUCCCUUGGGACCAUAAACCCACCCCAAGAGUGAGUCCUAGCUCCAGGGCCAGCUCCCAAUCCUGCCUCUGUCUGGUGGCAGCUGGGGCCAGGCUGAAGGUCUGUCCUAGACUGAGCCAUAAAGGCAAAAAUAAUACUUACUCCUAAUAGAAGUAAAGCACCUCACCCUAGAUGAGCCCUGGUCCUGGUCACACACAGAACCUAGACCUUUAUUUAGAGAUGGGCCAUUAAUUUGUCACGUGGGCUAGGUAUGGUGGCUCAAACCUAUAAUCCCACUUUGGGAGGCCCGAGCAGGAGGAUCACUUGAGGCCAUGAGUUCGAGACCAGCCUGGGCAACAUAGCAAGACCACGUCUCUACAAAAAGAUUUAAAAAUUAACCAGGUUUGGUGGCAUGUGCCUGUAGUCCCAGCUACUGCAGUGAACCAAGAUUGUGCCACUGCACUCCAGCCUGGGCAACGGAGCAAGAUCCUGUCACAAAAAAAAAUUAUCACAUGGCCAAAGUUAUUUCCAGGCUCUGAGUGCCAGCUUCCUCAUCUUUCCAACAGAGGGCCUUCACCUGGGCUAAGUGUUAAAUCAGAAAACCCCUAUUCAGAGGUUGGCCUGCAGUUCCCUGACCUGGUAACACUGGGGAGCAUUGGCUGCUGUCACCUGCCAGCUCCCACCCCCACCCAACACUUACAGACCAAGCAUCACUAAUUUUUGCAGCUGCCAUGAUAAAUGGCACUGUCAGCAAAAUGACAUCUUUCUAAUCUGCCACAAGACAGACGGGUCCCCGAGCUCCCGCAGCCUCCCGAGAGCCAGCCCAGGCCAUCCUUGUUGAGAGGAUGGGCAGAUGCAAAGCCCAGGGCCUGGGGGCGGGUGGGAUGGAGAGGAGACCUCAGGGCCCAGAAUCAAGGACAUCCCUAGUGGGGUUUACCACAGGCUCUUUUCUAAAUAUUUAGUUGUAUGUGUGCUUUUAAAAAUAUUCCAAAGAAUAUUAUAUGCUCUGUUCCUUUCUGACCAAAGUUAGGGCUUCAAUUCAAUUUUCUUUUCUUUUCUUUCUUUUUUUUAGACAGGGUCUUGCUGUAUCGCCCAAGCUGGAGUGCAGUGGCACAAUCACAGCUCACUGCAGCCUUGACCUCCUGGGCUCAAGCGAUCCCCCCACCUCAGCCACCUGAGUAGCUGGGUCUAUAGGCGCCAGCUACCAUGCCUGGCUAAUCUUUGUAUUUUUUUUGUAGACACGGGGUCUCGCCAUGUUGUCCAGGCUGGUCUUGAACUCCUGACCUCAAAUGAUCUGCUUGCCUUGCUCUCCCAAAAUGCUGGGAUUUCAGGCUUGGGCCACUGCACCCAGCCUCAAUUUUCACUUUAAAUUAAAACCUGGAAAUUGUUCAGGUUUAUAAGGAUGAACCAUUAGACACUGGUUCUGAGGCGGUGCUCUCUUCCUGUCACCCUCUGCUCUGCGGAACAGUCUGCCUCUGCCUGAGCCAUUGGGUCUGGGGGCUUUCUCACCCCCGUCCUCCCUCCCACUCCCUCCCUGCUCCCACCCUCCCACCCAGCCUCUUUGCUGACCUCAGCCGCAUCCCCUCCAUGCCUCACGCUGGCCUGGGACUGCCAGGUUCCUGUGUCCAGGAGUAGAGGUGAAUUGGGGCUCUGGAUGCCAAGAACAGAGGAAGGACAAAUGCCAGCCCCAGAGACCCUCACCUCCUCAAGACCAACAGGAGCUGGCACCUGUCCGCCCAGCAGCAGCAAAGCCAGAGCAGGUGCCAGCCAGGGUGGGUAGGCACAAGCCUGGGCUUGAAGAUUGAGACAGCGCUGCCCCCUCCUGGCUAAUUCAUGGCUGCUCCUCUGACAGGUCCCUCCCCGAGGAAACUCCUCUCCCAACUCCCAACCAGAGGGACUCCGCUCCUCUGCCUGCACCCCGACCUGCCCUGCCCCUGUCUCGGGGACUGCACAGUGUCAGCACAGUCCCACAGUUCUGGAACUUGGGGGAACCUAGACCUCUUCCAGGCCUACCCUGUGCACUGUCUAAAGGGCAAUCCUGAGCCCAGAGAGGGGCAGGAGCUGCACAAGGCCACACAGCCUGUAGUGGCAGUUAGGACUGGAAUGCAGCUCUCCCGAGUCUCUGCCUGGGGCUCCUUGGAGGACAGACACAUGGCUUCCCCACCUGGUGAACCAGAAUGGAAUUCUUCAAGGACAGGGACUGUAUCAUUCCUUCCAAUGUCCCCAGCCCCUCACCCAGAGCAGGACCCACAGGAAGCAACUGUGAACAGAAAAGGAAAAAAC